rnacentral:lncRNA from 8 species
GAAUUAAUCAAGGUGUGUAGUGGGGGAAAAAGUAAAACGCCUUUGUUUACGGCUUAUGCAUAGCGAGAAUGAAAAAACCCGCACCAUCAGGGUGACCACCAGAUCUUUCUUGAUGAAUGGAUUCUGAUGUUUCUACUACAUGGACUUAGCAGUAGAAAAACCUGGUUCUUACAUGAACUAUUAAGAGUCUAAGAGGUAAAUAAAAACUGACCUUGGAUUACUAUCCAGGGGCAACUUCAUUACACAUACUAAAAUGGUGCUUUUACUAUGUGGUCCUUUUGUAGCACAGUUGGUAGAGCAUGGCGCUUGUAACACCAGGGUGGGUUCGAUUCCCGGGACCACGCAUACGUAAAAUGUAUGCACACAUGACUGUAAGUCGCUUUGGAUAAAAGUGUCCGCUAAAUGGCAUAUAUUAUUCAAAAAUAUUGUCUAUUUUCCUCCAGGAUACCCCUGCCAAGCUGAAGAAACAAAACAAGAUGCGAGCGUUGGAGCUGAUGAUUAGCGCUCCCCUAGAAAAUGAAGAGGCCCAUCCUCUGAGAGUGAAGGCUUUAAUGAACCAGCGACGCUAUCCCGACAAUGAGGAGGUGGUCCCUGAUGAUAAACUGCAUAAUCCAACCAUUCAGAGGCCAGUUCAUUCACUCAGGACACAGGAGCAAGACAAAGCAGCCACAGGCUUCCAGCGCUUCCUCAAUGUCCUCAAUGAAGGGGUGGACAUCAACAAGCUCUCAAAGAUCGUCAACGACGAAAAUGAGUUACUCAUUGUGGGCGAGAAGCUACCACAAGUUUGGCCGUCUCUGCCCGAGGGUCAUGUUGACUCCAGCAGUAGAUCCAAGUCUUCUCCAGUUGAGGAGAAGAAGGUGAGGCUUGAGGAUGAGCAGCAGUACGAGCAGAUGCAGACCCUGCUGGAGAUCGUUGGGCUGGACUUGGGGGUUGAGGAGUUGGGUCAGCUGACAGACAGGACCAAUGACAGGCUGUAUGGGAAGAUGGGAGACUUGAAAAUGAAGGAGUUCAAGAAUGAGAAGGGAAAAGAGAAAAAGGAGAGCGAGCCUUCAUUUAAACAUCUCAGUACUUCCUCAUUACCAUCAGACAGCGCCAGCCCUAGCCCCCUUCUAAACCAGCACUCAAACAUGACCGUUGAAUACAGCAGCUCUAGUAACAGGGUAUGGGACAUAGAGAGACACAGGGACAGAUCUGAGAGGGACUGCCACCGACACUCUGGUACCAGAGACAAGGAAAGAGAGAGGGAGGAGGAUAUAGUUAGAGAAAUGGACAGAUCUGAAAGAGAUGGAGAGGGAGAUGGACACAGACACUCUAGUACCAGAGAGAGAGACAAGAACAUACCAGUAGUCAGAGAAACUAAGAGAUCAGAAAGAAAUGGAGAGAAAGACGGGGACAGAUCUGAGAGGGACAGGGACAGAUCUGAGAGGGACAGGGACAGAUCUGAGAGAGACAGGGACAGAGACAGAUCUGAGAGAGACAGGGACAGAGACAGAUCUGAGAGAGACAGGGACAGAGACAGAUCUGAGAGAGACAGAGACAGAUCUGAGAGAGACAGGGACAGAUCUGAGAGAAACAGGGAAAGGGAUGGAUCUGAGAAACACAGGGAAAGAUCUGAGAGAGACAGGGACAGAGACAGAUCUGAGAGGGACAGAGACAGAUCUGAGAGGGACAGAGACAGAUCUGAGAGAGACAGAUCUGAGAGAAACAGAUCUGAGAGACACAGGGAAAGAUCUGAGAGGCACAGAGACUCAGAGAUCAUCGGGGACGGAGGCCGAGAGACAAACAGUGACCGAUCUGAGAGAGACCAGGUCAGAUACAGAUCUGAGAGGCACAGGGACAGAGAGAGGUGCCUGCAAAGGGACAGGGACAAACAUUCUAGGACCAGAGACUGGGACAGUGAGAGCAACUGUGACAGCCACUAUAGUACUAGAGACUGGGACAUAGAGAGAUCUGAGAGGGAUUGGUAUGGAGAUGAGUCCAGGGAAAGCUCCAUUGAGCUCUACUCAUACUCCAUGGACCCUAUAUACCCUGUUUCUCAUCCUCCUCGUGCAUCUAUGAUGGCAACCUACUCCCCCACCCAGUACUCUCAGUAUAUGGCAUACCGCAACAGCCCCUACACCAUUGCCUUCCCUCCAGGGUGGGGUUAUCCUCAUGGUACUAUGCCCCCUGGUAUUAUGCUCCCUGGUACCAUGCUUCCAGGUAUUAUGCUCCCUAAUACAAUGCCACCUGGAAUCAUGCCUGCUAGUGCCAUAUCGCCUGGUAACAAGCCCCUCCUACCUAACCCCCCUGGGGAUUCACCCUACCCCAGCUCCCCCCCAUAUUACUCUAAUGGAACCACAUCCUUAAACCAGACAUACGCAUACACCCAGCCUGCUAGCAACCUCCAGCUCACAUCUACCCAGCCUGCUACUAGCAACCUCCAGCUCACAUCUACCCAGCCUGCUACUAGCAACCUCCAGCUCACAUCUACCCAGCCUGCUACUAGCAACCUCCAGCUCACAUCUACCCAGCCUGCUACUAGCAACCUCCAGCUCACAUCUACCCAGCCUGCUACUUGCAACCUCCAGCUCACAUCUACCCAGGCUGCCAGCACUGCAGCAGUCUUGCCUCUCCUACGUAACCCCCCCAUUUGUCACAAGAAACAUGCUCCCUGGAAUAAAGAAAAAAACCAUACCCUGAAGCAAGUUUGCAGACAAAUGGAACGGAAAUGGCGCUCCACCAAAUUGGAAGUCUUCCGACUAGCUUGGGAAGACAGUAAAGCGCAUUAUCGAAAAGCCCUCACUGCUGGUCGAUCAGCCUACUUUUCCAACCAGACUGAAGCGGAUAAAAACAAUCCAAAAUGUAUUUUUGAUACUGUCGAAAAGAUAACUAAAAAGCAGCAUUCCCCAUGUGAGGAUGGCCUUCACUUCACCUAAGCAAUUACAUCCUGCCUGGUUGGCCCUGUCUGGGGGUAUCAUCGGACUGGGCCACAUUAUCUAAGCACUGAGUUCUGUCUAAGCACUUUGUGACAUUUACUGAUGAAAAAAGGCUUUAUAAAUAAAUUCAUUUGAUUGAUUGAUCUUAACUCGGAGAUACACAUACAUCCAACCCGCUAGCAACCACCAUCUUCACAUACACCCUGCCCGCUAGCAACCACAAGGGACAGAAGCAUGCAGAAGCCGUAGCGAAAGUGAAAAGAAUUAACAUGGAAGAGACAGAAACAUGCAGAAGGGGAAAAAUGCGAAAGUGUCCUUUCAGAUGGUGACAAAGAAGUCCCCCUCUGAACCGGGAUGAAUGAAGAGAGCAAAGGGGGUAAACAAUAUAUUCUUCACAGGUAUUUUCAUUUAGAGUUAUCACAAUCAUCUAAGGAAGCGUGUGUGUAAGAGGAAAUGGCUUUUGAAGAGGAGGAAUAAGGCUCACCAGCACAAAAUAAAGGGAUUGCUUGCAGAAGCAGCAGGGAAAGUGGCCCCUCGGGUAGCUGCAAAGGAUUUCCUCUUUGAAGAGGAGCCCAAGAUCCAGAAGGAGUAGCCGUGAAAGAUGGGGAGAAACUACGUGUUGACACAGAAGAAGUGGUUCCUCAGGGAGCUAGAUUUGUCAUGACACUAGCAAAGGAUUUGUUAUAGUUUAUCCUCAUCCUUAAAUGAUUCAUGUUGAAGCUAUUUUCAGUGUAAUGUUUUGUGUUGUGUGUGGUAUGGGUAGGACCAGGAGUUUUUCUUGACUAUGAUAUAUGCUCAGCAAACGCAUUUUCUCUCCCGUUAUAAACCAAAUAUUAAGGCCGUGGAGUUUACUUGGUCUGGUCAUGUGGUCAGGAAAAACUCCUGGCCUUGGGCAUAGUACAUGUGUAUCAAUGCAAUGGCAUGUUAGUAAGUUCUCAUGCCUGAUAGCUAAAAGCAAGAAAACUUCCCAUGUUUCACUCCCCAGUUCAGUCUAAUAGAUCGUCUUUCACUUUGUAAAUAUUUAAAUGAAUAAAAUAUUCUGUCUAAUAUUUUAAGUGUGGAGUAUGUCAAAAGUAAUUUAACAUUUCUUUUCAGGCAUAGCUUUCAUUGGUUUAGGAUUAGAAAAUGCCAUGCUCUUCGCACUCUGUCCUAUUGGUGGCAGGAUUGGAAUGUGGAUCCUAUGAAGCUGAAUACAGAACUAUAGACGAAGUAGACAAGAAACGAGUUUAUGUUGGUUGACCAGUUGCCUUUAUAACAAACUUAACCCGAUCUAUACAAUUUAUAUUAAAAUCAAAGCAAAGCGAUUUUUAAGAGAGACUGGUAUGCAAAUUGUUUGACCCUACAAGAUCCAGAAUGAGACGGCGAACACAUAAGCCUGCGUGUGACUCGAGGUAGGCAAUCAUUAGCUAUAGUCAAUGUUUGCCAACACUUAUUAUGGAAAAUAUGCAAUGUGACCAUUUCAAUGUGGCAAUUUCAUGUAUUUGUCGGUAUUCUAUCUGGCAUGCUUGCAUUUACAAUCGUUAGCUAGCAAGGUAUAUACCAACCUGCUCUGAAAAGAACAUUACAAACUAGCUAGGUAGUAAACUAUGGCUAACGCUAGCACAUUUCAGCUGACAU